rnacentral:tRNA from 1 species
ACUUAAGUAUUUUAUAAAAAAUAUUGUUCUGUGGAAUCAAAGAUGUGAAUUUUUCAUCUUAAGUC